AGAUGGAGGCAACACGGAAGCAGGUUUUGGGGACGAAGAAAAUGAUGAUGAUGAUGAGGUUGUAGAUAGCUCACAGCAAGCAAGCGGAGAAACCGCUUUUCCCUACAGCCAGGAACUGGUUCUCACCCUGGACUUGGAGCCAGUACCCCCCGAACCCACCCAAGGCUGCCUCCUGGACCCAGCAGGCGGAGAAGGGACCUCCGCUGCAUGUGUUUCAGUGAUCACGGGAUCUUCUCCUUCCCAGAGGCUAGUGAAGAUUA